UUGACAAGGUGGUCUUCUUAGAUGAUGAUGUUGUCAUUCAGGGUGACUUGUCUCCUCUUUGGGAAAUUGACCUUGAGGGAAAAGUUAAUGGAGCCGUUGAAACUUGUAAAGGAGAAGAUGAGUGGGUAAUGUCCAAGCAUUUCAAAAACUACUUCAACUUUUCUCAUCCCCUCAUUGCAAAGAAUUUGGAUCCCAGUGAAUGUGCAUGGGCUUAUGGAAUGAAUAUAUUUGAUCUGCGUGCUUGGAGGAAAACAAAUAUUAGGGAAACCUACCAUUCCUGGCUGAAAGAGAACUUGAAGUCCAACCUGACAAUGUGGAAACUCGGUACCCUACCACCAGCGUUAAUUGCAUUUAAAGGUCAUGUUCGCCCUAUUGAUCCAUCUUGGCAUAUGCUUGGUUUGGGCUAUCAGAACAAGACCAACAUUGAGAGUGUGAAAAAGGCUGCUGUUAUUCACUAUAAUGGCCAGUCAAAACCAUGGCUGCAGAUUGGCUUUGAGCAUCUCCGACCGUUUUGGACUAAGUAUGUUAAUUACUCCAAUGAUUUUGUGAGGAACUGCCACAUCUUGGAGUCAUAGCUGAUCAACCAUAGGUCCAUAGCUGCUAGAAACUAGAGGUGGAACAGGAAACAACACCAACGAUUUUUGGUCACAUUAGUUAUUUCAUGGCUCAGGAUUUUGUUGAGAUCUAUUGAGAAGGCAAGCAGAAUUUUGUCAAGAAGGGUAGUGUUUCAGGUCUGAAUUCACUGUCAUCCCUCACUAUUGCAUGAUAAGGCCUGCAUAUCAAUAGCACGGGCAUGAGAUUCAUUCUUUUGAUCUGUAACAUAGUAAUCCGUCAUUUAAUUUUUUGGCUGGAGAAAGGAUACUAUUAUUGGUCUUCCUGCAGGAAGUCUAGCCUGAUUUCUUGGCACUUAUGUUUUCCAAUAAAACGAGAUAUACACGAGCAUAUGUGAAUAUAUCAUGCUGAUUGGUGCAAGGAAGAGGAAGGCUAGUAUGGGUCUUUUGUGAGGGCUGCCACAUUAGCCCAAAAAUGUUCUCCCUUCAUUUUUUUUUUGUUCUCCUGUUGUUUCAUUUUUGUUAGCAUUUCCCAUUUUUUUCCAGUUACUUUGAUAUCAUGAUAGUGAAAUUUUAGGAGUAGG
rnacentral:misc_RNA from 1 species